AAUUCCACACACUUUUUUUCCCUUCCAUCACCACCAAACAAUGCCCAAAAGUAUGGUGAUGAGCCGGCUCAACACUCCCGGCCUUGAAUCUAACAAUAGCCGAUGUGGGACUUUCUCUCAAAAUCUUCAUUGACCCACCAGGGAUUAUAUCGAUUGGAUUCAAUUCUCUAUUCUUAACCAAACAACAAAUAGCACAAGAUUCAGCUUGGGGUUCUUCAGAAGUACCAAUUUUGGGCAUUUCAGUCAUCGAUUCAUCGAAAAAUUUCGAGAUAUCCUCGGGCCAUGGCUGAGACCCAGACGCCGGACACGGCGAUUUAAAAGGAGUGUUGAGCCACGUAUCGACGAUUUCCUUAGCGGUAUCUUUAGAAGUUGACAUGCCGGAGAGGGCUAAAACGUUGCAGUUAUUGAUGGAGCGGUUGUUGCGGGCUUCGUCGGAAGUGAGACACGUGGUGGCGAAAACGCCCGGGAAUUUGUUGGCGAAUAUCCCGACUCCGACGCCCGUUCCGCAAGCAAGGAGGCCACGGGUUUCGACAUCGGGCGAGGCGGUGGUACAUGAUGAGACCCGACGGCCGACUUCGGCGCCGACGUUGUAAUAGGAGGUGGUACCGAGGUCUUCGACUUCGAUGCUGAGGGAUUGGAGGUGGGAUACCAUCGCGUCUUUCAGCUCGGCGCCGAAGGAGUCCGCUCCCGCGAUGAUCUUGAGGGGGCGAGGUGCGGUGGCGGUGGCUGUGGCUGCAGCGGGAUCGGCCAUGGUACGGACGUAGGGGAGUAACU
rnacentral:lncRNA from 1 species